CGUGUUCUCUGAAAUGAAUCAAAAUGAAUAGAUGGUGAAGAAUCAACGAUUCCAGCAUCAACCUCAAUCACCGAAAUUACCGAUCAUUCAUCAUUUCUUGUUUCAUCUCCGUGUAUGCAGAAUUGACAUUGAUAAUUAAAGAAAAAGGAAUUCACUGAAUCAACGUUUCGUCGUGAACAGGUAACAAAUGUUUUCCCCUUUCUUCAUUUGAUCUCCUCCUUCUCUGAG
rnacentral:lncRNA from 1 species